GGCUGGUCCGAAGGUAGUGAGAUCUCACAACGAUUACUUACAGUCAAUUACUGGUCAACCUGUCUGUCUACCCACCCUCUCUACUGCACUCGUCUAGCCCUAA
rnacentral:Y_RNA from 1 species